rnacentral:rRNA from 1 species
ACUCAAAGGAAUUGACGGGGACCCGCACAAGUAGUGGAGCAUGUUGUUUAAUUCGAUGAUACGCGAGAAACCUUACCGACCCUUGACAUGUCCAUCACGACUUCUAGAAAUAGUUGUCUUCGGUUCGGCCGGAUGGAACACAGAUGCUGCAUGGCUGUCGUCAGCUCGUGUCGUGAGAUGUUGGGUUAAGUCCCGCAACGAGCGCAACCCUCAUCGUUAGUUGCCAUCAGGUAAUGCUGGGAACUCUAACGAAACUGCCGGUGAUAAGCUGGAGGAAGGUGGGGAUGACGUCAAGUCAGCAUGGCUCUUACGGGUCGGGCUACAAACGUGCUACAAUGGCGCUCACAGCGAGUCGCAAUGCCGCAAGGCAAAGCUAAUCUUUAAAAAGCGCCUCAGUUCAGAUUAUCCUCUGCAACUCGAGGGUAUGAAGUUGGAAUUACUAGUAAUCGUGGAUCAGAAUGCCACGGUGAAUGCGUUCUCGGGUCUUGUACACACCGCCCGU